GUAGUGACCAGCUGGUAAUGUUUUGACAGAAAAAUGAACUUCUGUUGUAUAUUUGUAUACAUAAUUGAACAUUUUGAUAAGAUUUAAGAAAAGUACAUAAGUUUGUGGUGUUGGGAAACUUAUUUCCCUCACCAGGAGAUUGUUGCAUACAUGUACGGGUGAUCACUUCCAGACAGAGGUAGUUACAAAUUAUAUCUGUACGGGAAUGAAGAUUAUUUAUAAGACUGAAAUUAUUGUAUUAUUUGCUUGAAAUGUGGAAUAUGAGGAAUUUAAAGCCAUUCGUGAGUAGUUUUUGAUGAUUCAGCUGGACAAAUGCUGGAAAUUAUACAGUUUUCUCCGACCUUAAAACAGACUCAGUACAUGGUAUAUCAUGGACACCAAAAGCAAACUAUAAAGAUCUAAAUGCCAUAAUUUUGUGCAUCUUGAAAACUGGAAAGGCGGAUCACUUUGAAGCAGAUGAUAGUGAUAGUGUUUAAAAGAAUUCUUUGCGACAGUUAUACCAGUUGGAACAGAUAAAAGAUACAUCAGAUGACAGACUUACAUAUAGAGGAGCCUAUAAUUAGAGAAAUAGAUCAACUUGAUUUUGAAGUUAACCUACUGCAUUAAUAUGAAAAUUCAUAAGUGACUGAGCUUAAAGAAAAUCACACAUGAAACUGUAACCAGUUUGGGAGACUCAUACAACAGAACAUUUCAAUACCUAUUAAGUUUUUUAUGUAUAUGUUUGACUUUUGGUAAUAUUUUGGAAGUUACUUUAGUAAUUGAGAGACCUCAAUGUUGAAAAUGACAAUUUUGAUAGAGGACAAUUUUAAGAAUAUCAACUUAGUUGUUUAUGAAUCUUUAUCUUUUAAAAUAUUACUUGGUAUCUGAAAGAAUAUUUCAAAAUUUUCUAAAACUAUUUAGAUAUUUAUCAUGUUUCAUGUGUUUAUAUAGGCAAAUAUUUAUACAUGCCAUUUAUGUUAUGCAAGGGUUUAUAUGAAUUUCUAAAAAGAUGUAUAUAUAUGUGUUGAUAAAAUAAGUUCCAAAUUAUUACAGAGUAACAGAAAAUGGGAUCAAUUUAUAUUAAAACAAAUCUGUUAUAAGGGAAUGAAAAGUCAAAAAUUGUAUUUUUUAAAAUAAUUGUGUUAACAUUGUUGUGCUAUUUAGAAAUAUGUACACAAAAAAGAACAAACUUAUAAGUAUCAAUGUAGUAUGCCCUUGUUAUUUUUUGUUUUGUGCAGUACAUGCAUUUGAAUCUUGAUCAAAAUUUAUGGAUUGAAUUACUAAACAAAAUAAACUAAUUGUUAUGUUAA